CCUGACACUGCUUUGAAUGUUCAGCUAGAGCCCUGAAAAAUCCAUGAGGAGCAUCUCUGGCUAUCUCUAUUCUCUCUCUCCCCCCACCCCAUCCCACAUACUUCUUUAGCAAUAAGCACAACAAAUACUCAUUACUCCUGUCCUCAAGGAAAGAGCCUGAAAUACUCUUUGCUGUGUCCUGCAGAAGGAGGAAGCAAGGAAACCCUGGGAAGUCCAGCACAAUGGGAUGAGUGUAGACUGGAUGAAAAUUGAAUGUGGUUAUAUGGCUAUCUCAUCUUUGUCUUCCCUCUGAUAAUUUUGAAGGGACUAUUCAAACUAAGAAUGAGCUCACAUCUUCUAUGGAAAUGAUGAGAGACUAAUGGAUUUGGCUUAAAAACAGAGGAUCUGUUACUCCUGGACAACAAAAAGAAAUGGAACAUGGCCUCUUGGAUUUUGUUUGCAUGUAAGGAUCAGAUUCAUUCAUGAAUUGACUGAUUACACUAUGGUCAUGGGAAAAAGAGAGGACAGUGGCUUGCAGAAUGCUACAAAUGCAGAACAUCUUCACAUUCUUCUUUAUCCGGAAAACAUGCAGUCAUCUCUGCCAGAAGACAUUUACCAAUAAACUGGAUGUUAAAGUAAAUGCAACGAAAUGUCAACAUUUUUUAUAAACGAAAUCUCUUCCCUUUCAAUAAAUUUGAGUAAAGAAG